rnacentral:lncRNA from 1 species
CUGCUCCAGAGCGUCGGCUGCGGGGUCAUUCCGAAAAGCUCUACCUGCGACGAUUUCAUCUCAAUCGAAGGAGAGGAGAUUUCUCCGUCCGGGUUGCGGAUCCGUGGAACAAGCUGCCAGACGAGAUGGUGAAGAUGCCGACGACCGCUUUGUUCAAAGUCUCCCUUGACCUCAAGUGGCCUGAACUCUUUACAUGAACACCACCCUGUACUUAACUCCAUGUCCCCCUACAUGGCCUUGCUAUUUGCUUUUGGGCCAAAUUAACUAACUAACUAACUAACUAACUAAAAGAUUUCAGACAACAGACACUAAAAUAAGAAUAAUAAUAUAGCUGAAGUGAUGAACGAGUAUAUAGUGCGUGUGUUUAUUUGGCAAAAAAUGACCAUUCCGAGAUAAAGCAAUUACAUUUUUUAUAAAAGCAGAAAAUUCUGCGUCAAAUCACAUUUUAUUUCCUAUCUUAUUGGUUAUCGUGCUACUCUGAUACGAUACCCAGGCAUUGUUAUAUUAUGUACACCAAGACACAAGCACGCAUCUACAAGCUAACGCACGCAUGAACACACGAUGACCAAACGCUCAUAAAAUUUUAAUCAACGCUAUGCUAUCAUAAAAAGUAACUGCGCAAUGAGGGGCAUUAGAAGUGGACACAAAGGAAUAUCUUCGCGAAGCGAUUUUGUUAAUCACACAGUCACUCCUCUGUGCAUUUCUAGUGACUUGGUGAGUUUUCGUUACAUAUUAUCCUUGAUAAAUAUUUAAGACCGUAAUGUAAGGCGACACAUGUACUGCACUUAAUAGUACAGUAGAAAAUUAUGUCCCACUAAUGGAUAUUUGGAAUGGAAUCGGUCUGAAACUAAUGGGAGGUAUUACGGCUAUGUAUAGGUAACAUUUGUAUUUAGAGCGUAGGAACAUUUUAAAAUACAGUGGAACUUCAGUUUACGGAAUUAAUUCAUUCCUAAAAGCCGUUCAUUACUCGAAAUGCUCGUAAUCCGAAACUAUCUUUCUCAUACAAAAUUCAAGAACAGCCAUGGUGAACUCGACCAGGUAUGUGCACUGAGCAAAAGCUUCACAGCAACUGAUACUCCCAGCUUAUCGUCAAACGUUGUUGGUUUGCGUGUGCCUUGCUUGAAACACGGUUCAUCACCUGAGACGAUUUAUGUUCGAAAUAUUCUUCGUAAACCGAUUUGUUCAUGAAAAGAAGCGUUCUUAGACCGAGGUUCCACUGUAUAUAUAAUCAGAAUAGGAGUAUGUGCUGUCUCAAGUAACAUGAUCCUUCCUUUUUGGAUACUAAAAUACAUCAAUAACUUUAUUGGAAACGAGUAACCAUGUCAUGACUUAGGAACCAUGAAUACCUCUGUCUAGCGCGUAGAAGAUAACUCAUAUAUGAUUGAAUUUCAGAAGUUACAGAUAUAUAUUCUCCAUCAUGAUACUUGAGAAUAGUGGUGGUUAUGGUGAUUGAGGUCGAUGGUGUCGCGAUAGUGAAGAUGGUUAUAACUAUGGUGAAUGCAGUGGUUAUGAUGGUGGUGUGAUGAUGACAGAGAUAGUGGUAUUGUUGGCAGUAGUAGUGAUGAUAGAGUUGCGUUUAUUGAUAAAUAAUGGUAGUGAAAAUUGAUUUAAAUAAUGUUUUUUCUAAAUUCUUACAAUUCUAGAUAUGAAUUCGUGUGAUUCAGAAAGGCAUUACUUUACUACAUUAUCUUCAAACGCUACUCUGAUUUUAGAAUUAUUCAAUAGGCGUCCUAAAGCAAAAAUCAGAAACUAGAUAAAAUAAAACGGAACUUGUUAUAAAAUUAUCUACUCUUUCUUUGGCAAGGCGAAUGAUUACGCUUCCUUCGAUUCUACAUAAUUCACUUACUGGACAGAUUUAACUUUGAUUACUUUGAAUUUGUGUGACCUUCAGAAAGGUACUACUUUCCUACAGUAUCUUCUGCUUUUAGAAUUCUACACUAGGCAUCCUAAAACAAGAAUCAGAAUCUUGAUAAGAUAAAACAGGACUUGUUUAAAAAAUUAUCUACUCUAUAUAUGGCAAGACGAAUAAUUUCGCUUCCUUCUUUCGAUUCUGCAUAAUUUUAUUUGUGGUCAGGUUGACCUUUGAUUACUUUCUAAUAAAAUACAAAUAAAAAAAAAAGAAUAUAUUCAGGCAAAGACAUAUCAACAACCUUUUUUGUUUAAAUUUCCAGACAGUAUAUAUUUUGGUACGUUAUCAGUUACUGAUUAAAUUUGAAAACGGAGAUUUGUUAAUAUUUUUGCUCUUAGCGAUUAUGUAAGCGAGCAGUAAAACAAAAUAAAACAUACAAAGACACAUAGACACAUACAUUCAGAAACACACAGACUUGCACAAACACACAAACGUAACUCAUGAAUUGAAAGAAAACCAUCAUCUUUUCAUCAUCAUUAUACCAUCUGGCUUUCAAUGUAUACAACAAUAAUCGAUCGAUCACAAGUUAUUCUCUCUCUCUCUCUUUCUCAUACAAAUACUCAAACACACACACACACACAUACACACGCGCGCAAGCAUUGUUUUAAUAUUUGAAUGAAUAUAUUUUAUACUCGCUACAGGCGAACAGACUGAUAUACUGCUAUGCCUAGUAUACAUAGCAUUUUUUAUAAGUACUUCUGCGCAGCUUGGAAUCUUUACUGGACGAACAUAAGUAGACACACGUGAUAUAACCCCAAGAACCAGUCUAAACUAGUUCAACACUUCUCGUGCUCGUUUAGUUCUUUAACCACAGGCUAUAUUAAACAGAUCAUCUUAUUCAUAAUUUAUGCUUACAUAUAUUUGUUUCAGCAGUAUAUAUAUAUAUUAAAAUUGGUAUGAUAUAGAGAAGACUAGCAUGACCCCAGCGCAAUGAUGACACGCAAAUUCGUGAAGCGUUCAAUAUUUUUAGGCGCAAACGUGGGUGUGUUGUAAGAAGCUUGCUUCUCAAGCACAUGGUUCUAUAUUCAGCCCCACUGCUUGUUACUUUGGGCAAGUGUCUUCUACUAUAGCCUCGGGCCGACCAAAGCCUUGUGGAGAGAUUUGGUAGACGGAAACUGAAAGAAGCCCGCCCUAUAUAUAUGUGUGUAUAUAUGUAUAUAUAUAUAUAUAUAUAUAUAUAUAUGUGUAUGUAUAUAUAUAUAUAUACAUAUGUAUAUAUAUAUAUAUAUAUAUAUAUAUGAAAAAACAAGUCAAAAUAGAAAAUGCUAAAAUAAUUUUAUAAAGAACAUUUCAGUACCGGUUUCGGUCAUUUUGAGACCUUUUCAACUGUAACGAUUAAAUAAUUAAAUUUAGAAAAAUUAAAAGAAAAGUUUUUUUAAAGGAAUAUUUGUAUAGUGUUCAAAUAUAAGUGGCAUUCUGCCUUUCUCUGUCUCCUUGUUUGCACUUUUGUGUUCGAGGCCGUUGUGAAUAUAUAUAUAUAUAUAUAUAUACAUGUUUGUGCGUGCGUUUGUGGGUAUGUGUGCCUUGAAUUCGGUUAUUUUUUCGAACACGAAUCCACUCCUCUACUAAGUUUAGUUUUAUGCAAGAUAUAAUAAACAACCUGUUGAGAAGAACAAGCGUGUAUGGGUGAGAACAUCUGCACACGUUAUUCCACAUUUCAGAAACUAUUUGCACAAUUAACAUUAAUGCUAGUGAUUCACAAGAGAUAAUUUCCACAACGCACCUUUCUAAAUAUUUUCAUUACUCCCUGCCCAAACUGCUCAAACUAGUAAACAUUCAUUUUUGCUGAAUGGACUAUUUUGAGAAAGCUACACUUAAUGAUGCAAGCUAAUCUGAGUAAAACGUCAUUUGCUACCAUUUUCUCGUGUAACAAAGAAAUAAUUUCCCCUUAAGCAUGAAAGUCAAAUUUUAUGCAAAUUAAAUUCUGAAAUUCAACAGAACGUCGACAGUUUUCUCCAAGAGUUGCUAACAUUUGCUGCUAGGUAUUUCUUUUCUCUCUCCAUCCAAGAGAGAUCUUGUGUACGUCAUUCUAUACAUCUUAUUUUACCUGAAAUAUCUGAAUUCAUGUCCUUUACUUAAUAAGUGAAAAUAGGUCUCAGAAGAUUUCUUAGAGUUUAUACUUAUUUGUAUUUAGAGAGAGAGAGAGAGAAUUGGGAUCUUUUCGGUUUGAACGGCAGUUUUUUUACAUAAUUUCUACGUAACUAAAAAAUUUUAAACUUCGUAUACUAGUAGAAGAAAAGACAUCACAAUAUAAUCAACUAGCAUUAAACAGCAAAAUGAACUCGAGAAGGAAGAAGGAAGUCAGAAAGGUUGAAAGGCACUGUUGACGUCGGUGGAAUUCAAACUUAAAUUAUAAAAAGUUUGAAGAAAUGCCGCUGAGCAAUUUGUUCGACGCGUUUACGAUUCUAUCUCCUCACCAAUCUUCGGGAGACAGAUAAGAAAAUAAAAUAAAAGACGUGUUAACAUAUAGGCGCAGGUGUGGCUGUGUGGUAAGUAGCUUGCUAACCAGCCACAUGGUUCCGGGUUCAGUCCCACUGCGUGGCAUCUUGGGCAAGUGUCUUCUGCUAUAGCCCCGGGCCGACUAAUGCCUUGUGAGUGGAUUUGGUAGACGGAAACUGAAUGAAGCCUGUCGUAUAUAUAUAUAUAUAUAUAUAUGUGUGUGUGUGUGUGUGUGUGUGUGUGUGUGUGUUUGUAUGUCUGUGUUUGUCCCCCUAGCAUUGCUUGACAACCGAUGCUGGUGUGUUUGCGUCCCCGUCACUAAGCGGUUCGGCAAAAGAGACCGAUAGAAUACGUACUGAGCUUACAAAGAAUAAGUCUUGGGGUCGAUUUGCUCGACUAAAGGCGGUGCUCCAGCAUGGCCGCAGUCAAAUGACUGAAACAAGUAAAAGAGUAAAGAGUAUAUGUACGAGUUUGAAAAUUUGACUUCCAUUAUGUUUAUGAGAAAUUCUUUUAAAAUGUCAUACAAAAAAAUGUCAGAGCACGUAAUUUUCAGUUUGUGGUUUUAUCAAAUAUAACACUGUUCCACAUGCAUAUGCUCAUACAUAUAUACACAUACACGUGUACGUGUGCUCGCAGAGCGUGUUUGUAUGUUUAUGUGUAUGAGUUUUGAUGUGCGUAGGGAGCAUACAACUAAUCGCGUGAGUAUUGAUCUACUUUUAGUUCAAUUAAAAUAAGAUAACGAAAAUAUUAUACGAAAUUUUUGAUAUCCGAAUGUAGGUUAGUUUGUCACUCAAGUGCGUAUGGAAGCCGAAUUUCUGUAUAUUUAUACGUGUCUAAGUGUACAUAUACAAAAAAAAGCGAUCAUUCUCAAAACGCAAAUAAGAUAUAUUUUGAACAUCGGCUUUCUUAAAAGUAAAAUUUAAAUUACUACAUUAUUGCAGUAUUAGUAUAAAAGUAGAAGAUAGCAUAUAAAGCAUGCACACACAAACACACACAAACACACACAAACGCACACACGGCACUUACGCAAACACACGAACACAGAUUCACACACACAUAAACACAGCCUUUGUCUUGUCCUGAUCAUUAUGCCUUGUAUGUUAUGUUUGCAUUGUACAUAGUUCUGAUUACGAUAUCAUGCCUCGUGUUUUAUAUAACAGCGUGAUGAUAUCUUCAAACAUUUAUUUAUGCUGCUGUUGACAUUAUCUAUAUGAUUCUUACAGGUCUGGCACUGGCUUUCACAUCUACCUUACUUGAUUGCACUCAUCUCCCUCUUUACGAAUCAGGAAUUUCAUGAUGUUUCUUUUUCCUGUACAAAAAAAUUUAUACUUCAUAAGAGUUACUGUAUGGGUAUUUUGUCCAAGGCAGUCGUCUUUGACCAUCUAUAUUGGUAACUGUUUGUAGUUUUCUGGCAAUGGCCGUAAUGAUGUUCACAUGAUAUGCUUACGUCGAUUCAUCUGAUGAAAUUUUGCAAAUUUCCGAGUGUGUGUUGGUAUUCCUCCGUCAAGGAGUUCUUACCAAGAAGUGUCUUUCCAUGUCUCAUCAUGCUAAAACUCACAUAUGUGUGACUUAGUCCGUGGAUGCACUUUGACACUUAGAGGCUAGUAAGCGCCGUCGAAGUUACAUGACGCAAUAUCCAGAGGAUUUUCAACUGAAGUUAAACACCUGCCAGUUUGUCCUCGUUUUAUAUAACUGUUGAAAGAACUUCUUGUUAGAGCUAAAGAUCAUUCCGCCGAAUCUUAUCUUGUGUCCAUGGAGAAACCAAAAUGUUGUUGAGUCGUCCACCCCAUCCAUAUGCAUAUUCAACCUUGUUUUAAAGAACAAGUAUUCUUCUUGUAAAUAAUUAUAAUAUUCUACUUCUAUAAAUUCAGUUUGUUUCUUUCCAUAGCACAUAUUGUUUGAACUUGUGUUUACUUGUGAUGGGCAUCAACAAAAUUACACAAAUAUCUCGCAACUUUCCAUUGUAGAAUCGUAGCAUUCAUGUGCAAAUUGAGAGGGUACAAACAUUUAUCAACAUGAUUUCGCUUCUUUGCGCAUGUAAUGUUAUAUAAUCUUCAAGAAAAUAUCACCCAGAGGAGAAAGUUUUUUUUAUUGAUAUUUGAGAUACAUACAACUUGUGCAUAUGAUGAAAGGCAACGUUAAAAUUCUUAUAAAGAAAAUUUGCUUGAACUUAGAAUUAUUUGGUGCUGUAUAUUUAAUAUAUAUGAAAUUCCAAAUCCAAAGAAUAGAAUGACAUAAACUAUAUAUAAUAUUAUAAUAGAUCUGAAGAUAGUGUUUAAUGGCGAGUGGUAAAGGAAGUCUCAUAAAUGUUCUGGACAUUGGCUUUUUAAAAAAGAGAAAACUUAAAUUAAGAAAUGUAGAAAGAGAACUGAAUAUAAUAAAGAUGGAAAUGAAAUGGGUGGCGAUGAGGAGACAAGGAAGUACAUAAUAAAAUCAUUAAAGCAGUUCUCUGCAUUCGGUCCUUUCUUGAUAUAAAUAUUAUAAAUAUAGCAAGUAAAUGGUGCUAUCAGACACUACAUACAUUCAUACAUUCAUGCAUACUUACGUAUAUACUGUGUACCUGUGUAAGUGUGUGUAUGUAUGUAUGUAUAUAUAUAUAUAUAUAUAUAUAUAUAUAUAUAUAUAUAUAUAUAUAUAUAUAUAUAUAUAUAUAUAUACAUAUACAUGUAUGUAUGUAUGUAUGUAUGUAUGUAUGUAUGUAUGUAUGUAUGUAUGUAUGUAUGUAUGUCAAUUCCCUUUCGAGUGCUACUGGUAACAUGUAACCCAGUACUACUUGUUGCAUGAUCGGGUCGUCGGCGACUAAACCGGCAUCCCCACCAAGGUUGGUGNNNNNNNNNNNNNNNNNNNNNNNNNNNNNNNNNNNNNNNNNNNNNNNNNNNNNNNNNNNNNNNNNNNNNNNNNNNNNNNNNNNNNNNNNNNNNNNNNNNNUAUAUAAUAUUAUAAUAGAUAAGAUAGUGUUUAAUGGCGAGUGGUAAAUGGAAGUCUCAUAAAUGUUCUGGACAUGAUUUUUUAAAAAAGAAAAUUACAUAUAUAUUCAUACAUAAAGAGAACUGAAUAAACUUAAAUAUGAAGAAUAUAAUAUAAGAAAAUAUAUAAAAGUGGUGUGUGUUCUGUGGAAGUAGAUAAUGAAUGUUAUAUAUACAUUAAAACAUACUGCGUAUUGAAGACACUUAAUUAAGGGUUGGAGUAUGUAUGAUAUAUAUAUAUAAUGUAAGUAUUAAUAUACAUAUAUAUAUAUAUAUAUAUAUAUAUAUAUAUAUAUAUAUAUAUAUACAUAUAUAUAUAUACAUAUAUGUAGCUAUGUAAUUUGUGUAUGUAUGAUAUAAAUCAGGUCACUUUCGAGUGCUCACUGGUAACAUGUACCAGUACUAUGUUGCAUGGUCGGGUCGUCGGCGAUAAUUACCCCAUUAUAUUGUUGGUGAGGAGGGUGUUUAUUGGUCACUUAGAAUAAAAAUACAAACCUAAACUUGAGAGUCAACGACCAUCCAAUAAAUGUCAAAGCUGUAUCAUGCGCGGGGACAUAUAAAAUAAUCGGAUUGAAUACCCGAUCGCGCAGUUAAACCAUUGGGAGAUCUGCCAAUCUAAGGCUAAUAGUAAACCUAGAUAUAUACGCACAUAUUAGAAAUAUUGAUUAUGAUAAUAACAACAACAACAACAACAACAAAAAAUAUCUUCUUGAACAGGCAUUGCACGAUAACAACAUUGAUUAAUAUUGUAGCAAUGACCAUACUGAUAACGAGGGGGAACCCCAGAGUGUAUGCAUAUAAAGAUAUAGGCGCAGACAUGGCUAAUAAGAAGGCGGCCGAGGACUGAUUAAAGUCAUCCUUUCGGGGAUAAAUUAAGUACCAGUUACGCACUGGGGUCGAUGUACACUCUUUGUCUGUCCUUGUUUGUCCCCUCUUGUAAUAAAAGAAUAUCUCAACGACACAUAUGAAGUACACAGAGCUGUACUGCGUAGUGAAGUGACAUCAUGAUAUAAAAAUAACUACUGACUUGGGAAGACAUAAUGUGUGCAAAGGACCAUUUGGAUGAGGGUGGUCUGUCUAAGACAAAUACAUCUUUAUGGAUAUCAGAAGAACUAGAUCUGAAUGUCAUACAGACGAGGAUCAAUACCGUAAUAAGUGGUUAAAAUGUCGAAAUCGGUAACUUUUUCGUAUAUUGUUUCAGUGUCACUAGCACUGUUUUCACGAAUAAAAUGAAUAUAAGCAAUAAUAAUAAUAAUUGCAGAAUCCUAUGAAAGCUUCAGAAAGACUUGUCAAAGCAUCCAUGUUGUUCUAACAAAUAUAGAUUUCAAGCAGAUAAUGGGAAAUGAGAAACUCUAGGUUAAUUUAUAUGCACACAUGUGAGUUUUGUGUGUGUGUGAGUGUGUUUGUGUGUGUCAGUGCUUGUGUGUGUGUGUGUGUGUGUGUGUGUGUAUGUGUGUGUGUGUGUGUGUGUGUGUGCGGGUGUGUGUGUGUGUGUGUGUGUGUGUGUAUGCAUGUGUGGACAUCAGUAGCCAUUGCAUUCACGAUCAUAUUAUUCCUUGCUUAAUUUGAAUCUCAAACGAAUCGAAGGUUGUAGGUACAAACAUAUCAGUGUAUUGCUUCAGUAGGCCCAGAACAGGUUGUGUAAGUAGCUUGCUUCCCAACCACAUGGUUUCAUACAGUACAUUCAUCUACAAGUGUUUACAGGCUUUAAGCAUAGUUGAAUCCAUAUGUUAGACAAGGAAAGAACAGAAUUAUUAUAUAUGUAUAUUAAAUAUUGUGUGUGUGCAAGAUUUCUUAUGAAGUGUCAAAAGGUUGAACAUAUUGUAUAUUUCUGGUGUGUUUUAUGUACUAGUACAAAAAUGUGUUUGCAUGACGGUAAGACUGUGUGAAUGAAAACAAAGGACCCUGAUGCUCAUAGAGUGCGGACAGGACUCUGGCCGAUUCAGAUUAACGUCAAAUAACUGUAAAGUAGUCACCAAAUAUAUUGAUUAGUUGCGUUUAUUUAGGAAAUAAAAUAAUGUAUGCUUGAGGAAUGUUUAGUGUGCAGUGUGCAUUGUUUCAUUGGUUAAAAGGUAUACACUUAUGUCUCAAUGUGAGUAUGUCUGUGCGCGUGUAUGUGCGUGUGUGUGUGUAUGUAUGUUGGUGAGACAUCUCAUACAUGCUGUUUUCUUGCUUUGAUUAGUAUACGUAUAUGUCCAGUGUAUAGCACAGUUUCGACGUAUUUCUAAGAUGGUAUAACUGGUGGUCUCAUUGAAAAGCAAGAAUGGUUGUAGAGAAAAGGUGGAUUUCAGGAAUAGUCAUUCAUGACCGAUAGAACAGGUGGGGCUUUUUCACAGCAAAUGCUAAUGAUCUUCAACAAGUAAACGAUAAAGAGAAAGUAAUAUAACGAUUUCAAUAUGUACUACACACACACACACACACAUAGCCUUGUCUUGUAUCUGAUCAUUAUACUUGUAUGUUAUGUUUGAGUCCAUUAGUUCUGAUUACGAUAUCAUGCCUGCGAUGUGUGUAUAUUACAGCGUGAUGAUAUUUUCAAACAUUUAUUUAUGAUGCUGUUGACAUUAUCUAUAUUGAAAAUCUUCCUUAUUUUUUUUUACUAUGCUGAUAUAUACUUUAGUUUAAAACAUUCCUUUCACCAUUUCAGAUAAAUUUUUUUUGAGAAUUAAUCAAAAAAUACGGACAUCAAAUAAGGAGAAAUCAGCGCAAUGGAGAAAGACGCUGGUACUGUGUCAGUAGAUGUACAGAACCAAUCAGCGGCGACGUACGAAUCCCUGGUUACGCCAUCGGCAGCAA